rnacentral:rRNA from 1 species
CCUACGGGCGGCAGCAGUGAGGAAUAUUGGUCAAUGGUCGGGAGACUGAACCAGCCAAGCCGCGUGAGGGAGGAAGGUACAGAGUAUCGUAAACCUCUUUUGUCAGGGAACAAAGGCGGGGACGUGUCCCCGGCUGAGUGUACCUGAAGAAAAAGCAUCGGCUAACUCCGUGCCAGCAGCCGCGGUAAUACGGAGGAUGCGAGCGUUAUCCGGAUUUAUUGGGUUUAAGGGGUGCGCAGGCGGUCUGUUAAGUCAGCGGUCAAAGCCCGGGGCUCAACCCCGGCCCGCCGUUGAAACUGGCAGUCUCGAGUUGGAGAGAAGUAGGCGGAAUGCGCGGUGUAGCGGUGAAAUGCAUAGAUAUCGCGCAGAACUCCGAUUGCGAAGGCAGCAUGCCGGCUCCACACUGACGCUGAGGCACGAAAGCGUGGGUAUCGAACAGGAUUAGAUACCCGGGUAGUC